AUACGUAGGGGGCGAGCGUUGUCCGGAAUGAUUGGGCGUAAAGGGCGCGUAGGCGGCCCGGUAAGUCUGGAGUGAAAGUCCUGUUUUUAAGAUGGGAAUUGCUUUGGAUACUGUCAGGCUUGAGUGCAGGAGAGGUAAGUGGAAUUCCCAGUGUAGCGGUGAAAUGCGUAGAGAUUGGGAGGAACACCAGUGGCGAAGGCGACUUACUGGACUGUAACUGACGCUGAGGCGCGAAAGUGUGGGGAGCAAACAGGAUUAGAUACCCUGGUAGUCCACACUGUAAACGAUGAAUGCUAGGUGUAGGGGGUAUCGACCCCUUCUGUGCCGCAGUCAACACAAUAAGCAUUCCGCCUGGGGAGUACGGCCGCAAGGUUGAAACUCAAAUGAAUUGACGGGG
rnacentral:rRNA from 1 species